rnacentral:rRNA from 1 species
AGAGUUUGAUCCUGGCUCAGGACGAACGCUGGCGGCGUGCCUAAUACAUGCAAGUCGAACGAACCGCGACUGAGUGCUUGCACUUGGUCAAGGUGAGUGGCGAACGGGUGAGUAACACGUGGGUAACCUACCUCAUAGUGGGGGAUAACAGUCGGAAACGACUGCUAAUACCGCAUAGGACAUGGGAUCACAUGAUCCAGUGAGGAAAGGUGGCGCAAGCUAUCGCUAAGAGAUGGACCCGCGGUGCAUUAGCUAGUUGGUAGGGUAACGGCCUACCAAGGCGAUGAUGCAUAGCCGACCUGAGAGGGUGAUCGGCCACAUUGGGACUGAGACACGGCCCAAACUCCUACGGGAGGCAGCAGUAGGGAAUCUUCCGCAAUGGACGCAAGUCUGACGGAGCAACGCCGCGUGAGUGAAGAAGGUCUUCGGAUCGUAAAGCUCUGUUGUUAGAGAAGAACAGCGCAUAGAGUAACUGUUAUGCGUGUGACGGUAUCUAACCAGAAAGCCACGGCUAACUACGUGCCAGCAGCCGCGGUAAUACGUAGGUGGCGAGCGUUGUCCGGAUUUAUUGGGCGUAAAGGGAGUGUAGGCGGUCUUUUAAGUCUGAUGUGAAAGCCCACGGCUCAACCGUGGAGGGUCAUUGGAAACUGGGAGACUUGAGUGCAGAAGAGGAGAGCGGAAUUCCAUGUGUAGCGGUGAAAUGCGUAGAUAUAUGGAGGAACACCAGUGGCGAAGGCGGCUCUCUGGUCUGUAACUGACGCUGAGGCUCGAAAGCGUGGGAGCAACAGGAUUAGAUACCCUGGUAGUCCACGCCGUAAACGAUGAGUGCUAAGUGUGAGGGGUUCCACCCUUCAGUGCUGGAGUAACGCAAUAAGCACUCGG